GUUUCCAUAGUCUAGUGGUUAGGACGGCGGUCUCAUAUCAAAUAUGACAGCUCCUAUCUAAAGGAACUGCAAUCCGCAAGCACGAGUUCGAUUCUCGUUGGAAGCA
rnacentral:tRNA from 2 species